CUUGCCAGGAGAUUUGUGUCCGUGUCGCGUCCCCCUUGUUUGUCACGUCCUGUCUCGUCUCACGGGUGUCCUCACGCAUUUGUGCCGGAGCCGCUCUGCCCUGACGCAUAGCCCGGUGCAAUAGGAGAAGUCCCGGGCCUUGAAGUUUAUAAUGUGGGGUGUGGUUGGACUCUAGAUGGGCACAAGAUGUCUGGAGCUCUGCAGGUUAAGUUUUCCUGCAACAAUUUGACCAUUGUCCUAACGGUUUUUUUUUUUUCAGAUUCAUAUGGAUCAGAUCUGUGCCAGAGGGCCCCAUCCCAUGUGAGGCAAUUCUCCUGAGCAGGAAGUCAAUGCAGAGAGCAGCAGUCAAGGCCAAGUGGGCGAGGCAAUCCACUCGGCGUACGUCCAGCCGCCGUCACCUGCCGGCCGACACAGCGGGCCUCCUGCAAACGUGAGCCUUGUGGAAGUGUUACAGGAGUCUGCGAUGAUGAUGCCUUCAACUUUAUUUCAUGGUCCCAUCCCGGCAGCCCUCAGGAACGGCCAAGGAGUUGCGGUGCACCCUGCUACAAUGGCGUCGGCUGCCGAGCAGGCCCGAGGCGUGCGGCCCGAGGAGCCGGGCAUUCUCACGAGAACGACUAAGAGACAACAGCCUGGUGUCAGCAGGGACUUCCCAGAUAGCAGGUCCGCUUUCUUUCCACCCGGCACGGAUCGGCACGCCCACCUGUCUGAGAGAUAAGUAGAGGGCUACAACCCAGAGAGGGGAUGAAAGUUGGGUCUGGGUCACAGUUCACGGGGAGGGGAUUUUGGUUUGGCUUUGGAGACGGGGAUGUCCGAGCAAU